rnacentral:rRNA from 1 species
UACGUAGGUGGCAAGCGUUAUCCGGAAUUAUUGGGCGUAAAGAGCGCGCAGGUGGUUGAUUAAGUCUGAUGUGAAAGCCCACGGCUUAACCGUGGAGGGUCAUUGGAAACUGGUCGACUUGAGUGCAGAAGAGGGAAGUGGAAUUCCAUGUGUAGCGGUGAAAUGCGUAGAGAUAUGGAGGAACACCAGUGGCGAAGGCGGCUUCCUGGUCUGUAACCGACACUGAGGCGCGAAAGCGUGGGGAGCAAACAGGAUUAGAUACCCGCGUA